UACGUAGGGUCCGAGCGUUGUCCGGAUUUAUUGGGCGUAAAGAGCUCGUAGGCGGCUCGGUAAGUCGGAUGUGAAAACUCGGGGCUCAACCCCGAGACGCCAUCCGAUACUGCUGUGGCUUGAGUCUGGUAGGGGAGAUCGGAAUUCCUGGUGUAGCGGUGGAAUGCGCAGAUAUCAGGAGGAACACCGGUGGCGAAGGCGGAUCUCUGGGCCUUACCUGACGCUGAGACGCGAAAGCUAGGGGAGCGAACAGG
rnacentral:rRNA from 1 species